rnacentral:rRNA from 1 species
GACGAACGCUGGCGGCGUGCUUAACACAUGCAAGUCGAACGGAAAGGCCCUGCUUUUGUGGGGUGCUCGAGUGGCGAACGGGUGAGUAACACGUGAGUAACCUGCCCUUGACUUUGGGAUAACUUCAGGAAACUGGGGCAAUAACCGGUUGGAACCUCUUCCGCCUUGUGGGGGGUUGAAAAGUUUCGGCGGUUGGGGAUGGACUCGCGGCUUAUCAGCUUGUUGGUGGGGUAGUGGCUUACCAAGGCUUUGACGGGUAGCCGGCCUGAGAGGGUGACCGGCCACAUUGGGACUGAGAUACGGCCCAGACUCCUACGGGAGGCAGCAGUGGGGAAUAUUGCACAAUGGGCGGAAGCCUGAUGCAGCAACGCCGCGUGCGGGAUGACGGCCUUCGGGUUGUAAACCGCUUUCGCCUGUGACGAGGCGUGAGUGACGGUAAUGGGUAAAGAAGCACCGGCUAACUACGUG